GGGUGGCUACUUUUAAGAAUCUAAACUUUAAAAUAUAUUUAGAUUUGUUUAACACCUUGGUUACUACAUGAUUCCAUAUGUGUUAUUUCAUAGUUUGAUGUCUUCACUUUUAUUCUACAACAUAGAAUAUUUUUUUUUUGACUGGUACUGUAUUUAAGAUAUAAGAUAUACUAUUUAUAAGCUAUUUAUGUGUAAUUCAAUUAUACUGUAUCACAGACAGUUACAACUGAAAGUAAUUUCUUCAGAAAUUGUAGAUUUAACAUUAACCUGAUAAACAAAUCCCAUAAAUAUUGUAUUGGUCUGUUUGGGUCCACAAGUUGAACAUGAUGAUCAGGUAGGUCAUUUUCAAUUGGCUACUGUGUAUUUGUAUGUAUUAUAGUUUUCUAAUCAAAUCCUACAUCCCAGUCUUUGAGAGACAGUAAAUGCCAAGACUCCAUAGUCUCUCCUCCAUUGCCACAUACAGUAUUUGCCUUACCAAGUUCACUAGAAAAGUUCCUCCUCUGCCUGCUUUGUUGCACGUUUCCUCCUGGCUUCCUCUCUUUGCUGAACCGUUAAAAACAAGCUUUUUUCUCAGCUGGGUCUGUAUAUAAGAAACUACAGAUGUAGGAUCUUAAUUUGAGCCAGUUUGCUACAUCAGGAAAAUACUCCUGCAGCUACAAGCAAUGGGAAUUAUAAUUAAUGGACAUUUUUGUAGGGGUUGAUGAAUUUUUCGUAAGGGAAAAUCAAGUCUGAAAUUACAAACUUCAGAAGCCAUUUUAAACCUAAAAUACACUACAGGUUUUACAUUUCCUGCUUUGCAGGAAAGUUCUCCUGCAAUAAGGUGAUCAAGUUAAGAUCCUACACCUGUAUGCACAGCCCCUGUAGCUACAAUAUAUUGUGGAGUGGGCAGAACUGUCUGUUUCUCACUAAGGGAAUUGUUACUGCCCAUAGUGCACAGCCAAGCUGCGAUUGUUUAAGAAAAAGGGAAGUGGGUUUGUUCUGUCGGGGUAGCGUAGCGAAGGUGCUAUUGGGUGCACCAUACCUUUGUUCUCCUGUGUUUCCCAUGUUCUAUAGGCUCCUGUUGAAUGAUUGGCGUGAGAAGUUUAAUGAGCUGCUGAAGACAGGUCUUCACAUUUGACCCAGUGCCUUAUUAAAACACACUGGAUGUAUGCGCGAGCAAACGUGCAUGUACGUACACACACUCAGACACGCAAUCACCCCCCUCCACACACACACACACACACACACACACACACACACACACACACACACACACACACACACACACACACACACACACACACACACACACACACAGACACACAGACACACAGACACAGACAGACAGACAGACAGACAGACAGACAGACAGACAGACAGACAGACACAGACACACACACAGACACACACACAAACACACACUCAUUGGCACUACUUAUACUUACUGUUUUACUUGUGAGUGGAAAGGGAGGGAGGGGGACAAGAAAGUCCUUAUGCCGCAACUGAGAGGCAGGAAGGAUUCAGGGGAAACAACAGCAAAACAUCAACAGCUGAGCUGACUAUCUCACAUUCCUUUCCUUUUCUGUGUCAUCUCCAACUAGGACUGGACAAUGACCGCAUGCAGGGGGAAACACUUCCCAUAUAACCAAAAGUGCGCAGGGCUGAAUAUGAAAAUACGUAACAGUACUCAUCGCAUUACGGUCGCGGUACUCUGUGCCAAACUUUGUGAUGGAUUACUGUGAAGAAAUUCAGAAAAUGAAUGAAACACACACACACAACAGAGUCGGACGAAAGCUCUGGAGCGAGGGAUUGACAGAGAGAGAAAAUAAGAAGAGAAGCGUGGCGGUGAUUUGGCAGCUGCCCGGUGCCCAGCUGUAUUGGAAAACUCCUGCCGCCUUUGCCUUUGCGGUGGUUCCCUCCCGGAGCGGUUUGUUUGGGGGACUGGUGUCCUGGGUGGGUGUCUGGCUACCCUCCCCUGCGGCAGGGCUGGCUGCUGUGGCUGUGACUGUGGCUGUACCCCCUGGGGAGCUGAGGAAUGGAGGUCUGGCCAGAGUGAGUUCUCCCUCUCUCUCUCCCGUUGUCCCCUAUCCCCUUAACCGGUAGCUGAACUGCCAAAACCUCCACCUUGUCAUAUACCUCUUCAUUCUGUCUCUCGCCCAUCCCACUUUUCCAGCUCUCCACUGGGUAAAGAUAGUUUUUAAUUAUCUCUUACCUGUCAGUUGUUACUAAGUGCUUUUUAAGUGCAUGUUUCCCUUAAAUGAAGUGUUAAAAUGUCAUGUUGGAGCUGUUGAGGCCGUUGGUAAACGUAUCCACACAACCACCAGUCACACACAAAUGCACGAUGGGACAGUUUGGAUCUUUUUCUAUUGUUAUUGUACGUCAGGACUUUACCAAAGAAUACACAACUAUGAAGGAUAGCUCAACCUUUGGAAGCAAAGCGCACUUCCUCCUCUCAUUUCCUGACUCUGUCUGUGACUUGAUUUUAUUGCUGUAAACGUUCAUAACUUGAAGGACAGAGCUCAAAUACUUAACUGAUAGAUUUACAGAGCCGAAGGUUUUGGUACUGACUCAAAUUGUUCUGAAUUGAAUGACAUGUUUCAACAAAUAAUACAUGUUUGUUUUACUGAUGAAAUUGAAAGAUGGUAAAAAGUGAGAGAAUUUGAUGGUUCAGUUCAUUUGGAUAGUGUGGUGCCUGUUUGUUCUUGAUAAGCUGCUGUUGUUUUUGUUUCUCAAUUUUGACUGUGCUUUAAAAAACAGUUUUUAAGUUCUACUCCCACAAUAAUGAAACUAUACUGUGGCAUUACAGCUGUCAUCUGAAGCUAGUAUAAUGUCUUUUCAAUCUCCUAGAUGUCAGCUUCAGAAAUGUAAAAUAGACCAUCUAAGCAACUUUGUAACUCACCCUAUUGUCUUAGUCAGCAGAUUUAAAAUUUAUGAAAUAAUUAUCAGGAUUUUGCCGUAUUCCUCCCCUGUUCAGUAUUAGAUUUGUUUUUGUCAGGGUGCGUACUUGAGCUCCUACCAACUGGUGUUGAUAUGCAGCAGUCUGAAAUUGAUUAAACAGUCUUGAAUGCCAGACAACCAAUAGUCUAACACUCAGGUUUGAUUUGCUGAAAUUACAUUCUAGCAGAUGCCAGAUGUGACGAUUUCCUGAAAGGCAACCAACACAUGCAAUUCAAAUGGUAAUUCUAAAUCAUUAUAGUAUAAGGCAAGAAACCUGAUCAUGGUUGCACAUAAUGGCAUGGCAGAUGAAACAGAGACUAUUUCUGGAAUCAAUCAUUAGGAAUUUUAAAAUGUUUUAUUGUUUUAUGUAGAUUGGAUGUGAUUUGUUAUCACGAUUGCUGAGGCUUCCUAAAGAGAGCAAUCUGAACUCUUUGGUUCUGAGGGGACCCCUGUUAUAUAUACUACUAAAACACUGGCAAAUAGAUUUUCCAUUUCUUUUGUUGAGAAAUUGUGUGAUUAUUUAGCCACAAAAAAGUGUUUAACGGAAAACUAAAGGAGACUAGAGAGAGACAGACAGAAAGAGAGAGAAACUUUUGUACUUUACAAAUUGAAAAGUACAAUUAAAUAGACAUAUAUUUUAAAGUAGUAAAUUUAGCAUAAAGCAAAGAUCUUUACAUUGACGUAUUCUUUUAACUCGCUGAAUUUUGUAGGAUUACUGUAGAAAUCACCCCUUUUAGAAUUCUAUAGUCAGUAAAUUGUAUACUUUCUUCAUUAUAGCCUCUGAGAUUGUGAGAAUACUUUCAACCAAGAGAUAAUAUUACAUGUUAUUUAUAAAAGUUUACAGAUUCAUUCAGUUGCCAAAUGUUCUUACCUAAAGUGUUGUGGAAUCUGCAGUGCAGACGUGUGCUGUGAAUAGAGUGUAGUGUGUCUGACUGUCCAGGAGAGGGGGAAAGGAAACAUCUUUAUUCAGUGAAUGAAAAUCUCUCCGAUGAACUGCACUUCUGAUCGUCCCAGCUCUGAGUACAAGUACAGCAGACCAGUACCCAUUUUCACAAAGCUUCUCAGUUUAAGAGAGCUGGUUUAGGAACAGCUCCUCCCUGUCUAUGUCAUUUUAUUUAUUAAAUGCUUUUUAAAUACAGGCCCAGAUCUGAGAGAGGUCUGGUUGAUUUAAUGGUAGAGGGGCACUAUCAUAAAACAACUGUAUCUUUGGCCAAGCUGUUUUUUUAAUGCAUUUCUUAAAUAACCUUUUUUAAAUAAGUAUGAGCAAUGUACAUGAAUGGUGAAUGGCAUAUGUCUGCCUAGUAUUAAGCCAAGAUCUUUUAGUAGCUAAUAGUGAAAAUUGCAAUUUUGUUGCAUGAGCCAGUCAUGUUUAGUCAAGAUCAUGAUCUAGAAUUUAUACUUAACACAUUCUAUUUCUAUAAUAAUGAUGCAAGGAUUUUGUAAAGACAAAAUUGGUUUUAGUUUUUAAAGUUGAGAUUAUUCCAUAGGAACUACUUACUAUGUCUCUUCAUUAGAAAUGAAGCUUUAAGAAGGAAAUGCUUAUGGACUUUUUUACCAGAUAAUUGGUUUGAUUUUUACAAUGAUUUACUAACAAAUAUCAUUACAUUUUUUGUGAUUUGGAAUUAAAUUUUACUGAAGAAUGUUUGAUGAAAAAUAUGUAUUUUUUGUAUACUAUAGUAAAUGGUAAAUGUAAAAUAAACAGAAUCAAAUAAAUAUAAAUAGCAAUAUCAGUAGUUUCUAGUUUUUCCAUAGGCUCCGGGGUUUUCACAAUUGUUAAGCCGAGCUAGUUUUAUGUAGAAUCUCACUUUGUGAGUUUUACAUCAUAAAAAAAAAAAGAAAUUCACUCUGCAGAAUUUACCAUUGUCGGAGUUCCCUUUCCAUGUGUGUUUCUAGAGACACAGAGAAAUAUGCGUUUUAUUACCAGAACUAACUCUGCUCCUUUCAGUUUUCCCCCAACUUUUCAACACAUAAAUUAUUAAUGUUAAAUAAACCACACAUCUUGCAAA